CACGUAGGGGGCGAGCGUUGUCCGGAUUUAUUGGGCGUAAAGGGCUCGUAGGCGGCUCAGUAAGUCGGGUGUGAAACCUCCAGGCUCAACCUGGAGACGCCACUCGAUACUGCUGUGGCUAGAGUCCGGUAGGGGAGCAUGGAACUCCUGGUGUAGCGGUGAAAUGCGCAGAUAUCAGGAGGAACACCAGUGGCGAAGGCGGUGCUCUGGGCCGGAACUGACGCUGAUGAGCGAAAGCGUGGGGAGCAAACAGG
rnacentral:rRNA from 1 species